rnacentral:rRNA from 1 species
AUUGAACGCUGGCGGCAUGCCUUACACAUGCAAGUCGAACGGCAGCACGGGGGCAACCCUGGUGGCGAGUGGCGAACGGGUGAGUAACAUAUCGGAACGUGCCCAGUAGUGGGGGAUAACGAGUCGAAAGAUUCGCUAAUACCGCAUACGACCUGAGGGUGAAAGCGGGGGAUCGCAAGACCUCGCGGUAGUGGAGCGGCCGAUAUCUGAUUAGCUAGUUGGUGGGGUAAAAGCCUGCCAAGGCGACGAUCAGUAACUGGUCUGAGAGGACGAUCAGUCACACUGGAACUGAGACACGGUCCAGACUCCUACGGGAGGCAGCAGUGGGGAAUUUUGGACAAUGGGGGCAACCCUGAUCCAGCAAUGCCGCGUGUGUGAAGAAGGCCUUCGGGUUGUAAAGCACUUUUGUCCGGAAAGUAAUCGCGCUGGUUAAUACCUGGCGUGGAUGACGGUACCGGAAGAAUAAGCACCGGCUAACUACGUGCCAGCCGCCGCAGUAA